ACAGAAUCCCGGACGAGCCCCCACUUGUUACGCCUCCACCCCGGCUCAGGAGAGGAGGAAGGCGUAACUGCCCAAGACCACGCCCUCUGGA
ensembl:miRNA